rnacentral:tRNA from 1 species
GUCCCCUUAGCUCAGCAGGAUAGAGCGUUUGCCUCCGGAGCAAAAGGCCGCGCGUUCGAAUCGCGCAGGGGACGCCA